GGCGCUAUAGCCAAGUGGUUACGGCGACAGAUUAGAAUAGUCAUUAUCAGAUCUGUUCCUCUUUGAGGGCGCAGGUUCAAAUCCUGCUGGCGUCG